rnacentral:lncRNA from 1 species
ACCACAAUUCUCAAAAGCUUCACACUCUUGAUCAAGACAGUGUGAAGCAAAACCAAUUUAUGGUGCCAACAAAAGCUUCAUCAAAGGAGUUCAACCACAAUUCUCAAAAGCUUCACACACUCUUGAUCAAGACAGUGUGAAGCAAAUUCAAUUUAUAUGGUUCAUCCAAACCUUCGACUACUACAAAGUAUGGCUUGCAUCACAAUCUCUUGCUCAACAGUGUGGAAGCAAAAUUUGUAUAUGUUGUCUCUCCCACAUUUUCAAAUUUCUAGUUUCCCCCUCCCAAAAAAAAAAGGAAAUUCAACAAAGCUUCAUCAAUGGAGUACAACUACAAAUUUUCAAAAGUUUCGCACUAUCUUGAUCAAGAUAGUGUGAAGCAAAAUCAAUUCAUGGUACCCAACAAAAGCUUCAACUCCAAAGCUUCAUCUACAAAAGCUUCAACACAAAAGCUUCACUCACAAAAGCUUCACUCACAAAAGCUUCAACACAAAAGCUUCACCAACAAAAGCUUCAUCAAUGGAGGACAACUACAAAUUCUCAAAAGCUUCACACUAUCUUGAUCAAGAUAGUGUGAAGAAAAAUCAAUUCAUGGUACCCAACAAAAGCUUCAACUCCAAAGCUUCACCUACAAAGCUUCAACUCCAAAAGCUUCAACACAAAAAAACCCACAAAAGCUUCAACUCCAAAGCUUCACCUACAAAAGCUUCAACACAAAAGCUUCACCUACUACAAAAGCUUCGACACAAAAGCUUCACCUACAAAAGCUUGACCCACAAAAGCUUGACCCACAAAAGCUUGAC